AUGUUCAGAUUAGCCAUGCAUGUCUCAGUAUAAGCUUCUAUACGGCGAAACUGCGAAUGGCUCAUUAAAACAGUUAUAGUUUAUUUGGUGGUCAGCAAUUACAUGGAUAACCGUGGUAAUUCUAGAGCUAAUACAUGCGCCCAAACCCGACUUCGUGGAAGGGUUGUGUUUAUUAGAUACAGAACCAACCCAGGCUCCGCCUGGCCUUGAGGUGAUUCAUAAUAACCGAACGAAUCGCAUGGCUAUGCCGGCGAUAGACCAUUCAAGUUUCUGACCUAUCAGCUAUCGUCGGUAGGGUAUUGGCCUACCGUGGCAAUGACGGGUAACGGAGAAUUAGGGUUCGAUUCCGGAGAGGGAGCCUGAGAAACGGCUACCACAUCUAAGGAAGGCAGCAGGCGCGCAAAUUACCCAAUCCUGACGCAGGGAGGUAGUGACAAGAAAUAACAAUACAGGGCAUACAUGUCUUGUAAUUGGAAUGAGUAAACUUUAAAUCACCUUAC
rnacentral:rRNA from 1 species